rnacentral:rRNA from 1 species
AGGGCACCACCAGGAGUGGAGCCUGCGGCUUAAUUUGACUCAACACGGGGAAACUCACCCGGCCAGGACACAAUAAGGAUUGACAGAUUGAUAGCUCUUUCUUGAUUUUGUGGGUGGUGGUGCAUGGCCGUUCUUAGUUGGUGGAGCGAUUUGUCUGGUUAAUUCCGAUAACGAACGAGACUCUAGCCUAUUAAAUAGACGAUAUAUUAUUAGUUUAUCGAGCUUCUUAGAGGGACAGGCAGCUUCUAGCUGCACGAGAUUGAGCAAUAACAGGUCUGUGAUGCCCUUAGAUGUCCGGGGCUGCACGCGCGCUACAAUGAUAAUAGCAGCGUGCAUUAGAACCUUUUCUGGUAAGAAUUGGUAAACACGAAAUAUUGUCGUGCUUGGGAUAGGGGAUUGAAAUUAUUGCCCUUAAACGAGGAAUUCCCAGUAAGUGCGAGUCAUUAGCUUGCGUUGAUUACGUCCCUGCCCUUUGUACACACCGCCCGUCGCUACUACCGAUUGGAAGAUUUAGUGAAU